GGGGGAUCGGAGUUAGCUCUACACCCUUUGUGACAUACCUAUAACUGUUGCUUCGGCGGGUAGGGUCUCCGUGACCCUCCCGGCCUCCCGCCCCCGGGCGGGUCGGCGCCCGCCGGAGGAUAACCAAACUCUGAUUUAACGACGUUUCUUCUGAGUGGUACAAGCAAAUAAUCAAAACUUUUAACAACGGAUCUCUUGGUUCUGGCAUCGAUGAAGAACGCAGCGAAAUGCGAUAAGUAAUGUGAAUUGCAGAAUUCAGUGAAUCAUCGAAUCUUUGAACGCACAUUGCGCCCGCCAGCAUUCUGGCGGGCAUGCCUGUUCGAGCGUCAUUUCAACCCUCAAGCUCUGCUUGGUGUUGGGGCCCUACAGCUGAUGUAGGCCCUCAAAGGUAGUGGCGGACCCUCCCGGAGCCUCCUUUGCGUAGUAACUUUACGUCUCGCACUGGGAUCCGGAGGGACUCUUGCCGUAAAACCCCCAAUUUUCCAAAGGUUGACCUCGGAUCAGGUAGGAAUACCCGCUGAACUUAAGCAUAUCAAUAGGCCGGAGGAA
rnacentral:sRNA from 1 species